GUGUGUGUGUGUGUGUGCGUGCGUGCGCGUGCGUGCGUGUCCUGCAGGCUCUAAAGCGGGCACCAGGCCCGGGGGCAUCGGCAGCGCUGCGGCCCCCCAGCCCGGUAUGGACGGGGAGGGCAUGCUCUCCAAGAUCCUGCCGGUGAACGCCGCAGAGCAGGCGGGGAAACUGGGAGACGCCCUCAGUGGUUUCGGCAAGAAGUUUUCCUCCAUGUGGUGAGGGGCUGAGGUGCUGAGGUGAAGAUAUGUUUAAUAACAGACAAAGGAAGUUGUGCCAGAAAAACCUUUUGGAAUUCAUACCAGUUUUUGUUUAGUGAGAGAGUGUGUUUGUGUAUAUGUAUAUGUGUGUGUGUGUGUGUGUGUGUGUGUGUGUGUGUGUGUGUGUGUGUGUGUGUGUGUGUGUGUGUGUGUGUGUGUGUGUGUGUGUGUGUGUGGGAGAGGGAGAGGGAGAGCCAGAGAGAGUCUAUGGGAGAGAGAAGAUAUACAAGAGGGAAACGGGAGAACAGAGCAUACUGAUCAGAACCAGGACCCCCGGUCAACCGCUAUCUUCUGGGACAAGACUACGCCCACCUUCAAGCCUCUCUAGCCAAAGAAUGUUCUGGAC
ensembl:lncRNA